rnacentral:rRNA from 1 species
GACGAACGCUGGCGGCGUGCUUAACACAUGCAAGUCGAACGAUGAAGCCUUAGCUUGCUUUGGUGGAUUAGUGGCGAACGGGUGAGUAACACGUGAGCAACGUGCCCAGGACUCUGGAAUAACCGCGGGAAACCGUGGCUAAUACCGGAUAGGUGCUGAGGCCGCAUGGUCUUCGGUUGGAAAGUUUUUGCGGUUCUGGAUCGGCUCACGGCCUAUCAGCUUGUUGGUGGGGUAAUGGCCUACCAAGGCGACGACGGGUAGCCGGCCUGAGAGGGUGACCGGCCACAAUGGGACUGAGACACGGCCCAGACUCCUACGGGAGGCAGCAGUGGGGAAUAUUGCACAAUGGGCGCAAGCCUGAUGCAGCAACGCCGCGUGGGGGAUGACGGCCUUCGGGUUGUAAACCUCUUUUAGUAGGGAAGAAGCGCAAGUGACGGUACCUGCAGAAAAAGCACCGGCUAACUACGUG